rnacentral:rRNA from 1 species
UACCAGCACCCCGAGUGGUCGGGACGAUUAUUGGGCCUAAAGCAUCCGUAGCCGGUCCUACAAGUCUUCCGUUAAAUCCAGCUGCUCAACAGAUGGGCUGCGGAAGAUACUACAGAGCUAGGAGGCAGGAGAGGCAAGCGGUACUCAGUGGGUAGGGGUAAAAUCCGUUGAUCCAUUGAAGACCACCAGUGGCGAAGGCGGCUUGCCAGAAUGCGCUCGACGGUGAGGGAUGAAAGCUGGGGGAGCAACCGG